CAGCAGCCGCGGGAAUACGGAGGAUCCAAGCGUUAUCCGGAAUCAUUGGGUUUAAAGGGUCCGUAGGCGGUCUUGUAAGUCAGUGGUGAAAGCCCAUCGCUCAACGGUGGAACGGCCAUUGAUACUGCAGGACUUGAAUUAUUGGGAAGUAACUAGAAUAUGUAGUGUAGCGGUGAAAUGCUUAGAGAUUACAUGGAAUACCAAUUGCGAAGGCAGGUUACUACCAAUUGAUUGACGCUGAUGGACGAAAGCGUGGGUAGCGAACAGGAUUAGAUACCCGCGUAGUCCCUGUCUCUUAUAC
rnacentral:rRNA from 1 species